CCGUGUGUUUCUCUGAGGGGGUGUCAUUCGCUCUGGAUUGUUGUUCUUAUUUCUCUACCUCCCCCCCCCACCCUCUUUCUCUUGUAUCGGCUUCCCGAGAGCGCGUGGAGAUGAUGUCAUAGUAAAUUGAGCCCUGAUAUUCAAAUAUGAGUUUUGCCUUGAUGACUUUGGCUAGCAUGUAUUGACAUUACAUUACCUGAUCAUAUGCAUUGGGGUCCAUUGGAACAUGUUGCCAGAUGAGCGCACAUAGGAUGGCAUCUGUAUACUUCAUGGAUGUGUUUGAUGUUCCUCCCAUGACUAGCAGUGAUCAUACCGCAUGGUGGUUUAAUUUAUUAACUGUGAGAGACUCUGAAGGCAAGCUGCAUCGUCUGCCUCGUGGAAUACUUUCUUCAUAAACGAAAUCAAUAUGAGCCUUUGCUACUGCUGUUAAUUCAUAACGUAAGUUUUUCUAUACUGCUUUCUUUUUGGGUUUUUUGAAGCAGCUUAUAAAACAAUAAGUACUAAAAUAUGCACAUUGACGCAGCGGGUAGGAGGAGUUCAGUGGUGGGGAACGGCCAGCCCAUGGCCUGAAUUAGGCCCGACAGUGGUUCCAGUUUGGCCCUUGAAGCUGGUUCCCACAACCACAUCUAGCUGUCUUGUAUCAUAUGUGAUGUCGGGUGUGGGGCAGGUAAGACUCGUCCAAAAAGGAACAAUCAGA